rnacentral:rRNA from 1 species
UACGAAGGGAGCUAGCGUUGUUCGGAAUCACUGGGCGUAAAGCGCACGUAGGCGGCUUCUUAAGUCGGUGGUGAAAUCCUGGAGCUCAACUCCAGAACUGCCUUCGAUACUGGGAAGCUCGAGUCCGGGAGAGGUGAGUGGAACUGCGAGUGUAGAGGUGAAAUUCGUAGAUAUUCGCAAGAACACCAGUGGCGAAGGCGGCUCACUGGCCCGGUACUGACGCUGAGGUGCGAAAGCGUGGGGAGCAAACAGG